GAGGAUGUAGCUCAGUGGUAGAGUGAGUGCUUAGCAAGCGCCAGGUCCUGGGUUCAAUCCCCAGUACCUCCA
rnacentral:tRNA from 1 species